UUUAUCUGUAAAGAUCUGAAAAAUUAUAAAGUCAUUGGGUCCUAUAUGGAGGCAGCUAGACCCAUAAACUAAGGGUACCUUAGUCUUAGAAGGGGGCUUUUUCAGAAAUCAAAUUUUUCAUAAACCAAUUUUCCUUUCUCUCUCUAGAAACCCUUUUCCCAAAAUUCUCUCUGCCUUCUCUCUAGAUUUGCAGCUAAUUGAAUAGUUCAAUCUUGGAUUUGAAGGUGCUCAAGCGUUCACCACACCAAAAGCUUCCUUUUGAUCCGAUUAUAUUUUCGAUUGGAUCAGUACUGUAAAUUCCUGUGCUGCAUAAAGUUGUUGUGAAAGCGUCUCUUGUGAACUGUACUGUGAGAAACAAGUUUGCUUGCUUGUGUUGUGCCAUGUUGCGUGUGCUGCCCUGCUGCGAUGAUCAUCCAUUCUGGAUGUGAACAGAGGAGAAUGAGGUGUCAGUGGAGGAUGUCUUGGAGGAAAAUGGAGAUGUUGCUGCUUAGUUCCUUAGGAAGUUUUAUGCCCUCUAAUAUUAUCUGAACAUUUCCAGUUUCUGUAUUUUUGAAUCAUUUAGUACUUUAAGUUUUAAUAUCCUCUGAAUUUUGGAUUACUGUAAUCCUUAAAUCUUAAAUUCCCUGGAAUCUUAACUAUCAUCCUUUAUUCUAACUGCUUUCUUUAUUACUAUGAAU